CGUGCCUAAUACAUGCAAGUCGAGCGAACAGAGAAGGAGCUUGCUCCUUUGACGUUAGCGGCGGACGGGUGAGUAACACGUGGGCAACCUACCUUAUAGUUUGGGAUAACUCCGGGAAACCGGGGCUAAUACCGAAUAAUCUGUUUCACCUCAUGGUGAAAUAUUGAAAGACGGUUUCGGCUGUCGCUAUAGGAUGGGCCCGCGGCGCAUUAGCUAGUUGGUGAGGUAACGGCUCACCAAGGCGACGAUGCGUAGCCGACCUGAGAGGGUGAUCGGCCACACUGGGACUGAGACACGGCCCAGACUCCUACGGGAGGCAGCAGUAGGGAAUCUUCCACAAUGGGCGAAAGCCUGAUGGAGCAACGCCGCGUGAGUGAAGAAGGAUUUCGGUUCGUAAAACUCUGUUGUAAGGGAAGAACAAGUACAGUAGUAACUGGCUGUACCUUGACGGUACCUUAUUAGAAAGCCACGGCUAACUACGUGCCAGCAGCCGCGGUAAUACGUAGGUGGCAAGCGUUGUCCGGAAUUAUUGGGCGUAAAGCGCGCGCAGGUGGUUUCUUAAGUCUGAUGUGAAAGCCCACGGCUCAACCGUGGAGGGUCAUUGGAAACUGGGAGACUUGAGUGCAGAAGAGGAUAGUGGAAUUCCAAGUGUAGCGGUGAAAUGCGUAGAGAUUUGGAGGAACACCAGUGGCGAAGGCGACUAUCUGGUCUGUAACUGACACUGAGGCGCG
rnacentral:rRNA from 1 species